AAUGGUCACCUCUAAAACCCUCGCUCCUUCCUCCUCACAAACCUGCUCUGUUCUCCUUCUGUCUCCCUCUCUUGCUAGAUUCACCUGUAUUCACUCCCUCUUGCACCACCCUAUGUCCUUGUCUCACGCUUUUAGAAACAUUCUUUGUCCUUUUUCCUCUUCCCCUCUAACCCGCUCUCAUGUUAGUGCUCUCUCUCCUUCUCAUGCCCUUUCUCCGCUCUACCCCUCUGUCCUUUGCAGUGUCUCUCUUGUCAACCAGUGUCCUCUCUUUUUCCUUCACUUCAGUGCACCUCACAUUUUAAUUAAUGUCUGUUCUCAUUGUCCUCUCAGCAGCUGCAUCCACCCUUCUCCACCAGGCAAGUGACAUGUCUCUUUCUGUUUUAUCCCUUUCAGACAUUCUCAUGUGUCUAUUCUAACAGCUUCCGGAGUAAUGGCGAGUCCCCCAUAGCUCACUUGUUACAGGGAUGGCACUUUUCAGAGGGGUUGUGGGUUUGAUUCCCAUGGAGGAACAGUGCAAUAAUGUAUGCAACACAGUUGCUGUAUGUUGGUCUGGUUAAGAACGUCCGGUAAAGGACUUAAGCAUAAAAAUCAAACAUUAUGAAGAGAUGUAGCAUAUCAUUUAAGAUCCUUUCUUUGAAAUCAUAAUCCAAGUUCUACUUCUGUUACUCAACCAUGAAGGGAAUUCUGAUGGCGUGUUGACUUCUCUCCACACCACUGGGCCAGAUGGGCACAGCUGCUGCACAUCCAUGGAACUACUCAGAGUGUACCUUACACGCUCACCACAGCAAAAUCCUCCCUCUCCACUGUAGUGCAUUUGGCCGCACUCUCAGGUAAAACGGUUUUCAUGUAAUCAACUCACCAUGCUUACUCUCUUGGUAAUUCGAGGAGAAUGGCAACAGCAGGGUUUCUAGACCGAGGCACAGAACUGUCACGUUUCGAGAAGGUCUGGCCCUGCGCCCAGUUUCUGGAAAAUUCACCAUGACGCCCUCCUGGCUAUUGCAGACUUCGAACAGUGAACAGGUGAGAGCGGUGCUGCAGUCGGUGGCAGCCAGGGGAGAGCAAUGAGCGCUGAGCAAUGAACAGAAUUAAUUAAGAGGCGAUCUUGCAUUCCUCGGGGCUGCUGUGCCUGGGCCGAGGCCGAGGCCGUGAAAGUGCUUGGGAAUUCAGAACGUGAACUGAGCAGCACUGGGGGCAGAGUGCAUACAGCUCUGGUGAGGACCCAGUACGCUGAGCUCUCUCACGAAGGAAGUCCGACACCCUCCUAUCCCCCCGCCCUGCUCCCGGGGUGGGUCAGCCAGCUAACGAUCUGCCCGACUAGGCCUCCCAGGAGGAGGGGUUCAACCACAGUUUAGGCCCUGACUCGAAGAGAAGGAUGGAUGGAGUGAGAGAUGGAUGGAGAGAUGAGAGAGAGAUGGAGAGGUGGACGGCGAAAGACAGAAAGGGACUGAUUAUUCACCUCCACAGAUCACCCACUUUGCUCCAGCAUACUUCCUUUUAAUUUGACAUAACUGCUUGCAAACUAAAUGCAAAGGAGCAUCCUUUGUUUUGUCUAUUGUGUCACUCAAAUACAAUUUUCAUAAGUAU